CCCUUCUCAGAAUGGCAUCUGGAGAGUUUCCAGUCCUCUAUCAGUCUCGGAUGAGAGAGGGAGAGUCAAGCAGGGGCCUGCCCAUUCCAUUCCUAGCUUGGCCAGUGGCUAGCGAGUGGAAGGCCAUCGGCUACAUGU